GCCGGGGCGGGGUGCCUAUACAUGCAGUCCGAGCGGACAGAUGGGAGCUUGCUCCCUGAUGUUAGCGGCGGACGGGUGAGUAACACGUGGGUAACCUGCCUGUAAGACUGGGAUAACUCCGGGAAACCGGGGCUAAUACCGGAUGCUUGUUUGAACCGCAUGGUUCAGACAUAAAAGGUGGCUUCGGCUACCACUUACAGAUGGACCCGCGGCGCAUUAGCUAGUUGGUGAGGUAACGGCUCACCAAGGCAACGAUGCGUAGCCGACCUGAGAGGGUGAUCGGCCACACUGGGACUGAGACACGGCCCAGACUCCUACGGGAGGCAGCAGUAGGGAAUCUUCCGCAAUGGACGAAAGUCUGACGGAGCAACGCCGCGUGAGUGAUGAAGGUUUUCGGAUCGUAAAGCUCUGUUGUUAGGGAAGAACAAGUGCCGUUCAAAUAGGGCGGCACCUUGACGGUACCUAACCAGAAAGCCACGGCUAACUACGUGCCAGCAGCCGCGGUAAUACGUAGGUGGCAAGCGUUGUCCGGAAUUAUUGGGCGUAAAGGGCUCGCAGGCGGUUUCUUAAGUCUGAUGUGAAAGCCCCCGGCUCAACCGGGGAGGGUCAUUGGAAACUGGGGAACUUGAGUGCAGAAAAGGAGAGUGGAAUUCCACGUGUAGC
rnacentral:rRNA from 1 species